rnacentral:sRNA from 1 species
UGACCAUUAGCGAAGAUGAUGAAUUCACCUCCAUGGCUGUCGCCGAAGCAAUGGCAG